AGAAGACUUCAAAAAGCAGUCUAGAAGUGACCUUUUUAUUGGUGGUAGGCAAGAGGCGGAUCAUUGGCAGCUUUACAGUGUAAUAAUGAUCUUUGAAGCUAAUGGUUUGACACUGAUGGUUACCGCCUUCACCUAAUCAAUGCAGUUAGGCGGGUAUCAUUGUUCUAUCUCACCAACGGGAUACCAUAAAAGCUAAUACAGAUUCAACAGCAGAAGCUACGGCGUGUUGAGUAAGUAUGGUGAACUGCGUCAUCAGCGCCUUCGAUUUCAGCGGUUAUGCAUCAAUGUUAAGUGACAGCAAUUCGUGGUGAGAUUCGUG